UAUGGAAUAUAAUAAUUCAUCGUUCAACAGACCUCAGCCAGCCUUCCUAAAAGUAAACUAAAUUUUCAUGUUUAAUGUUUGUAUUUUUCUCUGCAUUUUUCGAACUUAAAUUUCCAGUUUAAAAUGUGUUUGGUUUUCAAUUGCAAGUCAUUCGAUUGCUGGAGCGAUAAAACGUGGUGUACAUUCUUUGGAAUAUGGAACUUAAUCAUUGGUAUCUUCGGUAUAGUGUCAACAAGUUUCAUGUUGGUCAAUGAAUUGUCCAAGCCAGAAAAAAAAUUGUUUAACUUUGGGAGAGAAGUUAGAAACGACACGAGAGUUGUGUUAUUUGUUAUAUUUCUUAUACUUCUUUUUAUGCCCUUGUUGUCGGGUGUAUUCAUUCUUUUAGGAUUGUGCUUGGAUAUUACAAUUUUGUUCACAAUCGGGAAAAGCUUGAGCCAUGUUUGGCCAUGGGUUUGUAUUUGCUCGAUAAUUUUACCAAUUGUGCAUCUCAUAUGCUUAUACAGGGUGUGCAGGUACCACAAAAAAAUGAAAGGAUGAAAAGAAAGAAUGAAUCGUUCAAACGUUUGGCUAUAUUCUGGUUACCUAUCCUAUCGCCCUUAGAAAAAAGGAUUGCUCUGUAUAUCAAAAUUAUGGAAUACGAUUUAAAUCAAUAAAAUAGAACGGUAUUUAA